GACGAACGCUGGCGGCGUGCUUAACACAUGCAAGUCGAACGCUGAAGCACCAGCUUGCUGGUGUGGAUGAGUGGCGAACGGGUGAGUAAUACGUGAGUAACCUGCCCUUGACUCUGGGAUAAGCCCGGGAAACUGGGUCUAAUACUGGAUGCUACAUGUCACCGCAUGGUGGUGUGUGGAAAGGGUUUACUGGUCUUGGAUGGGCUCACGGCCUAUCAGCUUGUUGGUGAGGUAAUGGCUCACCAAGGCGACGACGGGUAGCCGGCCGGAGAGGGUGACCGGCCACACUGGGACUGAGACACGGCCCAGACACCUACGGGGGGCAGAAGUGGGGAAUAUUGCACAAUGGGCGAAAGCCUGAUGCAGCGACGCCGCGGGAGGGAUGACGGCCUUCGGGUUGUAAACCUCUUUCAGCAGGGAAGAAGCCAAAAGUGACAGUACCUGCAGAAGAAGCGCCGGCUAACUACGUG
rnacentral:rRNA from 1 species